UGAAAUGCAUAGAUAUGACGCAGAACUCCGAUUGCGAAGGCAGCUUACCAACACUUUACGGACGCUGAGGCACGAAAGCGUGGGUAUCGAACAGGAUUAGAUACCCUGGUAGUCCACGCAGUAAACGAUGAAUACUAAUUGUUCGGGGGGCAACCCCUGAGUGAUACAGCGAAAGCGUUAAGUAUUCCACCUGGGGAGUACGCCGGCAACGGUGAAACUCAAAGGAAUUGACGGGGGCCCGCACAAGCGGAGGAACAUGUGGUUUAAUUCGAUGAUACGCGAGGAACCUUACCCGGGCUCAAACGUUGGGGGAAUGCUCCUGAAAGGGAGCAGCCAGCAAUGGUCGCCAACGAGGUGCUGCAUGGUUGUCGUCAGCUCGUGCCGUGAGGUGUCGGCUUAAGUGCCAUAACGAGCGCAACCCCUGCGUCCAGUUACCAUCAAGUCAUGUUGGGGACUCUGGACGGACUGCCGGCGCAAGCCGUGAGGAAGGCGGGGAUGACGUCAAAUCAGCACGGCCCUUACGUCCGGGGCGACACACGUGUUACAAUGGCGUGGAACAGCGGGAAGCCACCUGGCGACAGGGAGCGGACCCCUAAAACACGUCUCAGUUCGGAUUGGAGUCUGCAACUCGACUCCAUGAAGCUGGAUUCGCUAGUAAUCGCGCAUCAGCCAUGGCGCGGUGAAUACGUUCCCGGGCCUUGUACACACCGCCCGUCAAGCCAUGGGAGCCGGGNNNNNCUGAAGUACGUAACCGGAAGGAACGUCCAAGGGUAACACUGGUGACUGGGGAUAGGUCGUAACAAGGUAACCA
rnacentral:rRNA from 1 species